rnacentral:rRNA from 1 species
CCUACGGGUGGCAGCAGUGAGGAAUAUUGGUCAAUGGACGAGAGUCUGAACCAGCCAAGUAGCGUGAAGGAUGACUGCCCUAUGGGUUGUAAACUUCUUUUAUAUGGGAAUAAAACAGGGUAUGCAUACCCUCUUGUAUGUACCAUAUGAAUAAGGAUCGGCUAACUCCGUGCCAGCAGCCGCGGUAAUACGGAGGAUCCGAGCGUUAUCCGGAUUUAUUGGGUUUAAAGGGAGCGUAGGUGGAUUGUUAAGUCAGUUGUGAAAGUUUGCGGCUCAACCGUAAAAUUGCAGUUGAAACUGGCAGUCUUGAGUGCAGGAGAGGUGAGCGGAAUUCGUGGUGUAGCGGUGAAAUGCUUAGAUAUCACGAAGAACACCGAUUGCGAAGGCGGCUCACUGGACUGCAACUGACACUGAUGCUCGAAAGUGUGGGUAGCAAACAGGAUUAGAUACCCCGGUAGUC